AUGAGUCAUCUCGUUCCAAUGAGAAGAAGACUGAGGUGUGCGCGCUUUUUUUUUCUGCCUUUUUUUUUUUACUCUUUUUUUUUUAUUCUUUCUUUUUCCUUCUUUUUUUCUUUUUUCUUUUUUUUUUUUUUUACUUUCUUUUUUUUUUGGUCUCAGUCAUGUGGACAUCAUUGGGAAUGGAGGGAAAGAGUGACUGCAUGGCUGGUGCUUGCUGAGCCGCGGGCUGGUAUUCCAGAAGGGCUGUGCCUGAGUCGGUGUCUGCUUCAGACCUUCGGGGCCCCGGCGGCGGGAAGGUGGAGUCAGCCGCUUGUCCCUGAUGUGCAAAGUAAGGAGCAAAAGGGGAAAAGACUUGGUUGUGGUGUGUGGCUGCCGGGAGCUUCCUCAUCCUUUAUGAGCUGGAUCUGUAAAGGAGACUGUCAGGCAGGGACAGGCCUUGUGGGCGCAGAUGGCUGUGGUGCCUCCCUCGGGGGCUGUGGGCCUCCAGGACGGUGUGGACAGGCCCUGAGGACAUCCGAAGGCCUCUCAAGAGAUGGUGAUGGCAAAACUCUGUACUUAAGAGUUUUCUUUUCGAAAGGAAGAAUUCCUGCCAGGCAUAAAUUUUCCCCUCUGACACUAAUGACCUUUCUGUUGUUAGAGACGAUUGUCCGCAGACAGGCAUGA
rnacentral:lncRNA from 1 species